rnacentral:rRNA from 1 species
GUGCCAGCAGCCGCGGUAAUACGUAGGGCGCGAGCGUUGUCCGGAAUUAUUGGGCGUAAAGAGCUCGUAGGCGGCUUGUCGCGUCUGCUGUGAAAACGCGGGGCUUAACUCCGCGCGUGCAGUGGGUACGGGCAGGCUAGAGUGUGGUAGGGGUGAUUGGAAUUCCUGGUGUAGCGGUGGAAUGCGCAGAUAUCAGGAGGAACACCGAUGGCGAAGGCAGCCAUCUGGCCUAAUACUGACGCUGAGGUACGAAAGCAUGGGGAGCAAACAGGAUUAGAUACCCUGGUAGUCCACGCCGUAAACGGUGGGUACUAGGUGUGGGGUCCAUUUCACGGAUUCUGUGCCGUAGCUAACGCAUUAAGUACCCCGCCUGGGGAGUACGGCCGCAAGGUUAAAACUCAAAGGAAUUGACGGGGACCCGCACAAGCGGCGGAGCAUGCGGAUUAAUUCGAUGCAACGCGAAGAACCUUACCAAGGCUUGACAUAUACCGGAAACGGCUGGAAACAGUCGCCCCCUUGUGGUCGGUAUACAGGUGGUGCAUGGUUGUCGUCAGCUCGUGUCGUGAGAUGUUGGGUUAAGUCCCGCAACGAGCGCAACCCUCGUUCUAUGUUGCCAGCACGUUAUGGUGGGAACUCAUGGAAUACUGCCGGGGUCAACUCGGAGGAAGGUGGGGAUGACGUCAAAUCAUCAUGCCCCUUAUGUCUUGGGCUUCACGCAUGCUACAAUGGCCGGUACAAAGGGCUGCGAUACCGUAAGGUGAGCGAAUCCCAAAAAGCCGGUCCCAGUUCGGAUUGAGGUCUGCAACUCGACCUCAUGAAGUCGGAGUCGCUAGUAAUCGCAGAUCAGCAACGCUGCGGUGAAUACGUUCCCGGGUCUUGUACACACCGCCCG